AUAAUAUUUAUGAUGAAGAAUAGUACUUAAAAUACAAAUUAUAGCGAGCCGGGAAUGGUGAGAGCCUGGUAUUAAUGGUUUUAAGGAACGCCCUUCUGAAAUGCUCAUUCGAACAACUUUAGUAGUUUGGGCCGGACUUUUCCGUUAUAAAGUUAAGGUGGUUCAUUAGAACAAGCAGAGUGGUACCGCGGGUUUACAGCCCGUCUCUUAA
rnacentral:ncRNA from 1 species